ensembl:lncRNA
AUGCAGAGAGCAGGGAGCAGGGAGCAGGGAGCAGGGAGCAGGGAGCAGGGACCAGGGAGCAGGGAGCAGGGAGCAGGGAGCAGGGAGCAGGGAGCAGGGAGCAGGGAACAGGGAGCAGGGAGCAGGGAGCAGGGAGCAGGGACCAGGGAGCAGGGAGCAAAGACCAGGGACCAAGGACCAGGGACCAGGGAACAGGGAGCAGGGAGCAAGGACCAGGGACCAGGGACUAAGGACCAGGGACCAGGGAGCAAGGACCAGGGACCAGGGACCAGGGACCAGGGACCAGGGCGCAGGGACCAGGGACCAGGGACCAGGGACCAGGGAGCAGGGAGCAAGGACCAGGGAGCAGGGAACAGGGAGCAGGGUGCAAGGACCAGGGAGCAGGGACCAGGGACCAGGGACCAGGGACCAGGGACUGAGGAGCUAUACAUGCAUGCCUCUGCCUGUGGAACUAGAUUCUCUCCUCUGUUUACCACCUCUUCUUCCCUUUCUCUUUUCCUCUUCCUCCCUCAACCAGUCAGUCACUAUCCAGUGUCAGUGUUGUCUCUCUUCAUCCUCUUCUCCUUCUAUUCCUCUGUCAGUGUCAGUGUUGUCUCUCUUCAUCCUCUUCUCCUUCUAUCCCUCUGUCAGUGUCAGUGUUGUCUCUCUUCAUCCUCUUCUCCUUCUAUUCCUCUGUCAGUGUCAGUGUUGUCUCUCUUCAUCCUCUUCUCCUUCUAUCCCUCUGUCAGUGUCAGUGUUGUCUCUCUUCAUCCUCUUCUCCUUCUAUUCCUCUGUCAGUGUCAAUGUUGUCUCUCUUCAUCCUCUUCUCCUUCUAUUCCUCUGUCAGUGUCAGUGUUGUCUCUCUUCUCCUUCUAUUCCUCUCUCAGUGUCAGUGUUGUCUCUCUUUUCUGUCUAUUCCUCUGUCAGUGUCAGUGUUGUCUCUCUUCAUCCUCUUCUCCUUCUAUUCCUCUGUCAGUGUCAGUGUUGUCUCUUUUCUCCUUCUAUUCCUCUGUCAGUGUCAGUGUUGUCUCUCUUCAUCCUCUUCUCCUUCUAUCCCUCUGUCAGUGUCAAUGUUGUCUCUCUUCAUCCUCUUCUCCUUCUAUUCCUCUGUCAGUGUCAGUGUUGUCUCUUUUCUCCUUCUAUUCUUCUGUCAGUGUCAGUGUUGUCUCUCUUCAUCCUCUUCUCCUUCUAUUCCUCUGUCAGUGUCAGUGUUGUCUCUUUUCUCCUUCUAUUCCUCUGUCAGUGUCAGUGUUGUCUCUCUUCAUCCUCUUCUCCUUCUAUUCCUCUGUCAGUGUCAGUGUUGUCUCUUUUCUCCUUCUAUUCCUCUGUCAGUGUCAGUGUUGUCUCUCUUCAUCCUCUUCUCCUUCUAUUCCUCUGUCAGUGUCAGUGUUGUCUCUUUUCUCCUUCUAUCCCUCUGUCAGUGUCAGUGUUGUCUCUCUUCAUCCUCUUCUCCUUCUAUUCCUCUCUCAGUGUUCCCCUCUCCCUCCUGUCCUCAUCCCUCUAUCCUGCCCUUUCCUCCUUCUCAUUGCUCUUCUCAUUGUUCCCCUCUCCCUCUAUAUUUCCACCAGUUUGAGUGCUGCAUCUGCCUUGUGA